rnacentral:rRNA from 1 species
CUACGGGUGGCUGCAGUGGGGAAUAUUGCACAAUGGGCGCAAGCCUGAUGCAGCCAUGCCGCGUGUAUGAAGAAGGCCUUCGGGUUGUAAAGUACUUUCAGCGGGGAGGAAGGGAGUAAAGUUAAUACCUUUGCUCAUUGACGUUACUCGCAGAAGAAGCACCGGCUAACUCCGUGCCAGCAGCCGCGUGUAAUACGGAGGGUGCAAGCGUUAAUCGGAAUUACUGGGCGUAAAGCGCACGCAGGCGGUUUGUUAAGUCAGAUGUGAAAUCCCCGGGCUCAACCUGGGAACUGCAUCUGAUACUGGCAAGCUUGAGUCUCGUAGAGGGGGGUAGAAUUCCAGGUGUAGCGGUGAAAUGCGUAGAGAUCUGGAGGAAUACCGGUGGCGAAGGCGGCCCCCUGGACGAAGACUGACGCUCAGGUGCGAAAGCGUGGGGAGCAAACAGGAUUAGAUACCCCCGUAGUC